UGAAGCUGAGGCUCCAAUACUUUGGCCACCUCAUGAGAAGAGAAGACUCCCUGGAAAAGACCCUGAUGUUGGGAAAGAUGGAGGGCACAAGGAGAGGGGGACGACAGAGGACGAGAUGGUUGGACAGUGUUCUCGAAGCUACCAGCAUGAGUUUGGCCAAACUGCGGGAGGCAGUGGAAGACAGGAGUGCCUGGCGUGCUCUGGUCCAUGGGGUCACAAAGAGUCGGACACGACUAAAUGACUAAACAACAACAACAACAAGGAAAAGCCGGGCUAGUUUAUUUUCCCUGGCAUGCAAUGUCAGGGGGAGGAGAAGCGUGUUACUCCACCUGACUGGGAUUUUGCUUCCCUGCAGCCAUGCUACUUCACCCUUUUUUAAAAAAAAAAAAGUUCAAAAAGGAAUUUAAUCUCAGAAAUAAAUCGAACAGCUGUACUUUCCUGUCACAAUGAAUCAGUGCCUUGCCCAGCGUGCAAACCAUGCAGCUUCCUUUUGCGCAAUGCUGCGAGAAACAGCAGCAACUUUCCAUGAUCCAGUUAGUUUGGCUAGUUGCCCAUAUUAGGAGGGGCUGGAGACUGGCAGCGUGAGAAGAGCACUGGGGCAUCAGGUCAAAUGCUCAUCUAUUCAUCGCCGCCAACACCACCAUCCUCCUCCUCCUCCUCACAGUGGCCAACUCAAUCCCUAUGGGAAGAGCAGAGACAGGAAAAGGCCCUCUGCUGUUGUUGGACCCGUAUGCCUUCUUCCAGCAACUCCUGCAGCCCAGCUGGUGCCCAAUGUGUUGGUCUGCUUUCCUCUGGAACGCAUCAGCGAGGCCUGGGUGGGGGGAGGUCUUGUUGUCUGGGAGGCGCAGACCUCCAUACUGUGAUAGGAAUUUUGAGGUCUUAGAUAUAUGUUAAAUGUUCACAAGUGUACCAACCAAGCACAUACAUAGAUCAGCACAGGAAGACCGACCUGGAACCAUUUUGAUUCCCAAACUGUCCCAAACUGACCAAAUGUUUUCUCUGCAAGGUCAAAGGAAAAUGAAAAAGCCUCCCCAUUGUCUUUUCCUUCACAAAUCCUGUCUUAAGGGUAUGUCUGUGUUUGAAUAGGGUGUGAGCCCAGGAACUAAAUAUUUAUCAUUACAAAAGACUGGCCAGGCUACCCAGGCAAUCCAAUCAAGUAACCUGCCAGACAACAACAUUCAAAUUUCUGUUUUAAGACCGCCUUUUCUGUGAUGUAGGUAUGAUGUAUCUGAGGGGUGGUCUUAGGUUACACCCCUUCUGUGAUGUAUGUAUGAUGUUUCUGGGGGUGGUCUUGAUCUACAGGGUGGGAAUUUCAAAAGUCUUUAUAAGGCCUUGCGCGCCAUUUUUCGGGUGAGGGGAGCACCCUGUUGCAACAGUUCAAGAAAGAUCAAGCUUACUAGCUGCUUUGCUUCUCAGUA